GACUGCCUAUGGCCACACCACCCUGAAUAUGUCCCAUCUCCUCUGAUCUCAGAAGCUAAGGUGCAUCAGGCCUGGUUGGUACGUGGGUGGGAAGAUUCUAGGAAAUCAUGUGCAGGUA
rnacentral:rRNA from 1 species